UACGGGGGGUGCAAGCGUUAUUCGGAAUUAUUGGGCGUAAAGGGUGCGUAGGCGGUUUUGUAAGUCAGAUGUGAAAUCCCGGGGCUUAACUUCGGAACUGCAUUUGAUACUGCAAGACUUGAGUAUGGGAGAGGAGAGCGGAAUUCCUGGUGUAGAGGUGAAAUUCGUAGAUAUCAGGAGGAACACCGGUGGCGAAGGCGGCUCUCUGGACCAAUACUGACGCUGAGGCACGAAGGCGUGGGGAGCAAACAGG
rnacentral:rRNA from 1 species